CUUUAAAAUCUAUCCCAAAAAUAUCUAGGUACCGCGCACGCCCACUGGAGGUAGCCAAGAAACAAUUGGGUUUCAACUUGCGGUGUUUCUUUCUCUUUAUCUACUAUUGGCUGUUAAACCAUAAUUCCUUAAUUUUGUGGGAAUAAAUGCAAUAAAUGUAUAAAAACUCUUACAACUGUUUUUUUUGUUUGUUUUUUUUUUUUUGCUCCAGAGGCGGUUCAAGUGUGGCUGGCGCCCUAAGCAAGUCUCGACUCUGAGCACAUCGUUUCCCCCACAUCGGUGUUGAUGGAUGGACAAGUGGGUGAAAGAAUGAAGGCGUGAUGAUGGACAAACAGAUAAAAGGACAAAAAAAAAAGGAUGGAUGGAUCAGCAGAUGAAUGAACAAAACGAUGGUUGAUGGGUGGACGACUGAAUAAAAUCUAAACAUGC